CCUACGGGAGGCAGCAGUGGGGAAUAUUGGACAAUGGGGGAAACCCUGAUCCAGCCAUGCCGCGUGUGUGAAGAAGGCCUUUUGGUUGUAAAGCACUUUAAGCAGUGAAGAAGACUCUUCGGUUAAUACCCGGAGACGACGACAUUAGCUGCAGAAUAAGCACCGGCUAACUCUGUGCCAGCAGCCGCGGUAAU
rnacentral:rRNA from 1 species